GACGCAGAACAUCCCAACGGCAGCUACAAUCAACAGAGAUCCAGCAGAGAUCAGCACUGUGUGAAACAAUGGAGAGAGUCACAUGACUCACAUUCACAGCUGAACACACCAAUGAACAUGAUGAUGAUGAUGAAGAUGAUGAAGAUGAUGAACAGUCUCUUCUGAUGACAGGAACAGCCAGAUGAGCUGGAAAUCAUGAAAGAAGAGAAAUGUAGAAGAUCCCGACUACAGCUACAAUCAACAGAGAUCCAACAGCAGCAGCAGCAGAGAUCAGCACUAUCAGAGAGACUGAAGGAGACUGUGAACGAGUCUGUGGAGCCAGUGCUGUAACGGCUAAAGAGAG